UGUAACUGAGUUUUUAAACACACAUUUGCUCACAGAUUUGUAUUCAAUGAAAGUGUCAACAUAAUUUGAUUUUAAAAUAAACAAAACGUUUACGAUUAUUCUAAAUGCAAAAAAAAUAGUCCAAAAAAGUCCAUCCAUCCAUCCAUUUUCUACCGCUUAUUCCCUUUGGGGUCGCGGGGGACGCUGGUGCCUAUCUCAGCUACAAUCGGGCGGAAGGCGGUGUACACCCUGGACAAGUCGCCACCUCAUCGCAGGGUACAUCAGACACAACUGAAGCUCUCUACAAUACUAGACUUUUGAGGAACAAAGCAAAACACGAUGAUUCAAAGCAGAAUGGAUGCACAAAAAAGUCAAGCAACCAUCCAGAGGAUCCUGAUUGGCAACCAGGAAAAGGUGUGUCCUGAUUGCCAAUCAAUGAGGAAACCCGCACCCAAACAGGAAAAAUACUGACAAACAGGAAAUACAGACAAAAAAUAAGAGCGCUAGACAGGAAAUACAACAAAAUGCCAGAAACUAAUAUUGUUGUGAGUUCAGUAGUAAAAGUUAUAUUGCAUUUUGACUCCAUACUGAAUUUUCACCCGAUGGCCGAAUACCCCUAACUUUUUGUUAGCAACAAAUGUAUUAUUAGUAGUAGAAAAGUCCCAUUAUUACUAUUUUCUGCAAUAAAAAAAAGCAAACUUUGUUUUUUCCUUGACGCUGCAACCCUGUUGUUAGACUGCCCUCUAGCGGCAUAUUUUAUACUGCAGCGACAAGUCCAAGGGCGUAUACUGUAAAUGACGUCACAGCAGCGGGGGAUUUCACGACGCGUUCAAGGAAGCUGGGAAGUUGGAAACAUCCCACUUGAAGCUUCUACGCGUGAGGGUAAACACGAUGGACGACCUCAGGGGUCCGGUCCGAUCCGGUGGCCAUGUACUGCUCGCCUGUGUAUCGGCUGGGGACAUCUCUGCGCUGCUGGUCCGCCUACGCUUGGGAUGGUUUCCUGCUGGCUCCGCUGUGAACGGGACUCUCGCUGCUGUGUCUUAGAUCCUCUUUGGACUGGACUCUCGCGACUGUGUUGGAUCCAUUGUGGAUUGAACUUUCACAGUAUCAUGUUAGACCCGCUCGACAUCCAUUGCUUUCCUCCUCUCUAAGGUUCUCAUAGUCAUCAUUGUCACCGACGUCCCACUGGGUGUGAGUUUUCCUUGCCCUUAUGUGGGCCUACCGAGGAUGUCGUGGUGGUUUGUGCAGCCCUUUGAGACACUAGUGAUUUAGGGCUAUAUAAGUAAACAUUGAUUGAUUGAUUGAAUUUAUACAAUUAAUUCAUUUUUCAAACUGAGACUCACUGACUUUGGCUCAUUUUCUGUGAAGAACAUAUAUCAGAAUACAUAUUUAAUGACCACACACCAUACACCCCCUUACACAUUUCUAUUAAAUAUAAAUGAUAAAUGG